rnacentral:rRNA from 1 species
UACAGAGGGGGCAAGCGUUAUUCGGAAUUAUUGGGCGUAAAGAGCUCGUAGGCGGUCUGUCACGUCGGAAGUGAAAACCCGGGGCUUAAUCCCGGGCUUGCUUUCGAUACGGGCAGACUAGAGUGUGGUAGGGGAGACUGGAAUUCCUGGUGUAGCGGUGAAAUGCGCAGAUAUCAGGAGGAACACCGGUGGCGAAGGCGGGUCUCUGGGCCACUACUGACGCUGAGGAGCGAAAGCGUGGGGAGCGAACAGG